AGAUACCACUAGCUGGAGAAGUAUGUAGAUAGGGAGAGAAAAGCUUGGGCUUCUGGGGGUGGUCCCAUUGCCCCAAAACGGGAGAGGGUGGCAGUCUUGAUAGCAGAAACAAAAACCAGGAAAUGUGUCUGAGGCAGUACCUAUUAUUUAAGUGACAGCUGUGCAUGGAUGUUGUCCUGAGAAAUCCACCUGGAGGGCAGAAACUCAGAGCAGAGCCCCAGCCCACACAAAACAGACAUGCGGGGCGGUGUCUUCUUCCAGGGACUCACACAAAGACAGGGACGAGAGAAUCCUCACCUGGACAUGGUGGUUCAGAACUGGAAUUCCAGCACUGAGAAGACCGAGAGCCUUUAUGGCAUGACUAUCAGGAAAGCAACUACUGUGAAUCUUCUGAGGUGAGACCCCAGCACCACAGACAAAAGACCCAAGAAUCCAUCCUACUGUGGAGACGGAGGGAAAGGCCUCUGGAAAACAUCACCUGAAGCAGAAGCUGCCAGGGUAAGAGCAGGUGGCUGUGACCUUGUGACUUCUCAUCCCCUAAGCCAGUGGCUCUCAACCUUCCUAGUGCUGCGAUCCUUUAAUACAGUUCCUCGUGUUGUGGUGACCCCCAACCACAAAAUUAUUUCAUUGCUACUUCGUAACUAUAAUUUCGCUACUGUUAUGAAUUGUAAUGUAAAUAUCUGAAAUGCAGGAUAUCUGAUAUGUGAACCCCCACAGGUUGAUAAAUGCUGCCCUGAGUGCUUAGCAUCACUGUGUCUUAUUAGUUAGAAUUCCUUAGUACUGCACACCUGACAUCAAUGUAAUUUCCAAUGUCCCGAGGAAUAAAGGGGGUGUUUUGUU